rnacentral:misc_RNA from 1 species
UUUCCGUAGGUGAACCUGCGGAAGGAUCAUUAUCAUGUAAUUCAGUCCCCUUGGCGGUGUUAUAUAUAUACCCACUCUGUGUACCUUCUCCUGUUGCUUCCGCUGGGUGCGUAAUUCGCCCGGCGGAAGGGUAAAAAUAACCUCUGAGUAUUGAUGAAAUCUCUGUCUGAACCGAAUAGAAAGAAAAAUGUUAAAACUUUCAGCAACGGAUCUCUUGGUUCUC